CCUUUUCUUUGCAGCCUGGGGUCUCCGUCUUUGGCCUCUUGGACCAACUUAGCUACCCGACGCUCGCAACUUCUGGCCCCGACGGUUGCCGACCUGUGUGCACAGCCGCGGGUGGGGCGCGCCAGCUUCACCUCUACCCUCUCGGCCUCUUCCCGUGGGUGGCCGGCCAGAGGCUGAGCGCGGGAGUUGGCGGAGGAGGUGGAGGGAGAGGGCGUGUUCCCUUCCGGCCUCUCCUUUGCUUUUUCUCCGUCCGAAGAAAGCGCAGGCCCAGCGGACUGGGAGGAAGGACUGGGCAGUCAGGACUCUGGCCCUUUAAAUCCGAGUUGGCGCUUGUAGUCUCGGAGGCCAGAGGCGGCGGGACUUAACUGCGUCCUGAGCCCUACCCCUUGACCAGCCACUUAGUUUGCUCUGGAAUUCCCGUUCUCCUGAAGGGGAGAGGAGAGCCUCGCGGAAGGUCCCACGCACCCUCAACCUGGGGUCUAGACCAGGCGGUCCCAAAGCUUCUGCGAACAGCUGUGCCCAGCAUGAGGAGGAGUGCAGGUCACCGACGGGCUAGAAUGACGUGCAGUACUAGGAAAAAGAACUGGAACAAAUAAUCCUAAAAUUUGUGUGGAACUUCAAAAGACUGAGUUGCCCAAGCAAUCUUGAGAAAAAAGAACAAAGCUGGAGAUAUGCUCCCCGAUUUCUCAAUAUGCAAUGCUACAGUCAUCAAAACGGCACUGUGUAGCUGUACAUGAACAUCUCUGCAAUUGAUCGACUGAUGAUACUUCUGUCUUACAUGAGAUCACUAAGUUACCAUGGAGUCACUCUGUGAAGAAGCCCUCUCCUUUGGGAAGAUGCCCACCCAGCAGGGAGACCUCAUGGACCAGUUCACAAUUUGUUUUCAGACAUAUUAACCCCACAAAUACAACAUAUCAUAUUAUGCCUUGUACUACCAGAGCAGUAGCCCCACCGGGGAUCACCAGAGCAGUUACCCUAGCCCCAGGUGUAUACUCCCAGCUCUGUGUUCACUGGAUACUUGUUCCCUAGAAUUUCUAAAGUACAUACAAUAAACUGUUUUCAGGAAAAAUAUUCCUGUGCCUGAGCCCAUUAGAGAUGUUGCUAUGGUUGGGUGGCUGAGCUUGCCAGGCUAGGAUGCAAUUUUCAUGUCCACGGCUUUGAGUCCAGCUUUCAGCUCACAACUGGAGGGUGACUUGAAUGCCGCUUGGAGAUACACAAAGAUUUCUUGCUCAAGCCUGAAAUUGGAGUGUCCUUCCUCUCCUGGCUCUGCCCCCUCUUACCCUCCAGCAUCCUCCUACUUCUCCUCUAUCUUAAUCCCAGGGAUCCUCCAGCAUCUGAGCAAUACAGUGGGUGAAUGUGUGUGUAGUAACUUUGGCCAUCUCCUCCUGUGGGGCACGGUAGGACCAGGUGAGGUCAGGAGGUAAACAUUGAUAAACUCAUUAAGUCCUAAAUUUUUAAAAAGACAAAAACAAAUAAAAUAGAGCUGAAACUAGAGCAGUAAGCCAACAGAGUUACCUACUCUAGAGUUGACCUGGGGUAGGGGUAUGACUAUUCCACCAUCCUGUCAGAAACAGAAGCUUCUUUUAGUUCCUUUGUGUCUCAUCUCAUUCAACCUGCUGCAUGAAUAUGAAAGUGCAAUCAAUGCAUUCAUAAGAUUUUAUCAUUAUUAUUAUCAACAAAGCGCUUUAUAAAUAUAUUUCUCUUCAAGGACAUCAUUCUAUUGUAUUAGGACUUCAUGUUUCUUGCAUGCCUAGUAUAGAAGUUCUAGCAGCUGCCUGGAAUUAUUUUUUUUCUUGUGGAUAAAUAAGGCCAUCUGAGUAAAUAUGUAAUUAGGACCAUAAUGGCACAUUUUGACUGCUUUUAAUAAAUAACACCAACCAGAAUUGUUUCUUAGAUGUGACACUAAUGAUCAUUAAUGGCCAAACUGUUAGAUUUACAUUAGAAUUCUUGGCUUAAAAUCUUUAUGAGUAUAAACUACAGUGCUAUCAAAGGAGAAUAUGUGGAAAACUUUCUGCAAAUGUCUCAUUAUCUUAUAAUAAUCUUCAGGAACUCCUAAAGGGAAAAUGCAAGAAACUAGAAAGAAAUUGGUUUGGUUCAGUAGUUAUUUUAUGCAGAAAAUCUAGGUAAAAUUGAGAUAAAUAGAGCAGGAUUGGACCAUUGUUGACAAGUCUAGAAUCUGUUCAGUCUUUGUUUAUAGACAAGAUUAGUAAAAUUUGGUUAAAAAUAAAAAGUCAUUUUUUGUCCGGUGUAAGAAUCUGAAAACCUCUAGCCCAUUUAAAAUCUUAAGAUUAUAAAAUUUUGGUUUUUAAUUACCAAAGUGGUCAGAUAAAGAUGGCUCAUGGUGACAUAACAGGCCCUAUGACCCUUUUUGCAAUUACAUCAAGUUGCUGUUUUAUCUUUAUGAAAUUUAAAAAGAUGACAACACUUUCAUUUAUUUGAAGUCUGCCCUUCUACUCUCCUUCCUAAAAAUUUCCUAUUUAUUUCAUCUUCUUGAGAGUCAUUGAUUAUGAAAAAAUUCUUCAGCAACUCAAAGUUUAUUUUGGGGUUUCUUUUUUUUUAAGUAAAGAAAAAGGAAUUGAGACUUUUAUUAAAAAUGAUAAAGGCCAGCUCUGUAAGAGUUCCCAUGAAAUCCCAGUGGUGACACAGCUCAGCAUGUACUAAGGAGAAGGUGAAUCUGAGCUAUGAACAGCUAUCUACAUUGGCACACACCUGCAGCCUCAGCAUCUGGGAUCCAUCCUUCCUAUUUAGCCAAACUACUCCCAUUUUUUUGGACAAAGGUGGCUUUGGAAAUAUUGAGAACUAAGUUACUUGUCAUCAGUGGCCUUUCCUCAUCUUCCAUUUCUAUCACUGUCACUUUGCAGACGGAGCACCUUAUCCUAUGCCCUGACUCUUGAAAGCCCCUCUUCCACCAGCCAGGACACCCCACCUGGCUCUGUGCAUUCUAUUCUACGUAUGUUGACCAUGUGCCUGCCAUUGUCCUCAUCUCACUUUUCCAGGGAAAGAAGAAGUAACAUUGGAGGAGUUCCU